GAUGAAGAACGCAGCGAAAUGCGAUACGUAAUGUGAAUUGCAGAAUUCAGUGAAUCAUCGAAUCUUUGAACGCAUAUUGCGCUCUCUGGUAUUCCGGAGAGCAUGCUUGUUUGAGUAUCAGUAAACACCUCAACUUCCAUAUCUUUUUUGAAAUGGGAGUUGGACUUGAGUGAUCCCAACGCUUUUCCUCACCGAAAAGUGGCGGGUUACUUGAAAUGCAGGUGCAGCUGGACUUUUCUCUGAGCUAUAAGCAUAUCUAUUUAGUCUGCCUAAAAAACAGAUCAUUACCUUUGCUGCAGCUAACAUAAAGGAGAUUAGUUCUUGUGCUGACUGAUGCAGGAUUCACAAAAACGGCUUCGGCCGACUUUGUAAACUCGAUCUCAAAUCAAGUAAGACUACCCGCUGAACUUAAGCAUAUCAAUAAGCGGAGGA
rnacentral:misc_RNA from 1 species